UACAGAGGUCUCAAGCGUUGUUCGGAUUUACUGGGCGUAAAGGGUGCGUAGGAGGUUUUUUAAGUCGAAUGUGAAAUCCCGCAGCUUAACUGCGGAACUGCAUUCGAUACUGAAGAGCUGGAGGGUCGGAGAGGUUGCUGGAAUUCUCGGUGUAGCGGUGAAAUGCGUAGAGAUCGAGAGGAACACCAAUGGCGUAAGCAAGCAGCUGGAAGAACCCUGACUCUGAGGCACGAAAGCUAGGGGAGCAAACGGG
rnacentral:rRNA from 1 species